rnacentral:rRNA from 1 species
AGUGAACGCUGGCGGUAGGCCUAACACAUGCAAGUCGAACGGCAGCACAGUAAGAGCUUGCUCUUACGGGUGGCGAGUGGCGGACGGGUGAGGAAUACAUCGGAAUCUACUUUUUCGUGGGGGAUAACGUAGGGAAACUUACGCUAAUACCGCAUACGACCUACGGGUGAAAGCAGGGGAUCUUCGGACCUUGCGCGAUUGAAUGAGCCGAUGUCGGAUUAGCUAGUUGGCGGGGUAAAGGCCCACCAAGGCGACGAUCCGUAGCUGGUCUGAGAGGAUGAUCAGCCACACUGGAACUGAGACACGGUCCAGACUCCUACGGGAGGCAGCAGUGGGGAAUAUUGGACAAUGGGCGCAAGCCUGAUCCAGACAUACCGCGUGGGUGAAGAAGGCCUUCGGGUUGUAAAGCCCUUUUGUUGGGAAAGAAAAGCAGCAGGUUAAUAACCCGCUGUUCUGACGGUACCCAAAGAAUAAGCACCGGCUAACUUAGUG